AGUGAAACUGCGAAUGGCUCAUUAUAUAAGUUAUCGUUUAUUUGAUAGUGCCUAUCCUACAUGGAUAACAGUGGUAAUUCUAGAGCUAAUACAUGCUAAAAGCUCCAACUUCGGAAGGAGCGUAUUUAUCAGAUUCAGAACCAAUGCCCUCACGGGCUCCUUGGUGGCUCAUGAUAACUCCACAGAUCGCAUGGCCUUGCGCCGGCGAUGGCUCAUUCAAAUUUYUUCCCUAUCAACUUUCGACGGUACGGUCUUGGCCUACCGUGGUUGCAACGGGUGACGGAGGGUUAGGGCUCGACCCCGGAGAGGGASCCUGAGAAACGGCUACCACAUCCAAGGAAGGCAGCAGGCGCGCAAAUUAUCCAAUCCCGACUCGGGGAGAUAGUGAGUUAUACCAGUUCUUUUCCAUGGCUUUCAUACUUGAAGUUGAAUGCUAACCAGAUACAAUAGGUGACAAUAAAUACCGAUACAGGGCUCUUUUGGGCCCCGUAAUUGGAAUGAGUACAAUUUAAACCUCUUAACGAGGAACAAUUGGAGGGCAAGUCUGGUGGACGUCCAGUCCCUGCUGGCGCCAGCAAGAGUGGGAGACGCGUCGUGGCCCGGUCGCGUCUUCGGACCCGCUAGUCGAGCAUCUACUCUUGACGGGAAGAUGUCGGCGAGACAACCUGGAUCGGGGGAGGCUAAGGGGCGCUUGGUCGCCCUAUGUUAACCCCGAGCAGAGCUUUCAGAGAGUGAUUUUUGAAAAGCCUGUGUAGAGCGCGGAAAGGUGUCGGCUGCCCUGCGAGAUUCUCUCAGGCGGCUUAAGGGACGUGCCGUUCCCCGCGAAAGCGGGUUCUUGUUUGAAGUACCCGUCAUACGAAGAGCAAGAAGCACUUUGGGCGUUCAUUCCCGGAGUGCGAACAGAUGACAAGACGGCCAGCAGCCGCGGUAAUUCCAGCUCCAAUAGCGUAUAUUAAAGUUGUUGUGGUUAAAAAGCUCGUAGUCGAACCUCGAGCCCGGCCGGCCGGUCCGCCUCACCGCGUGCACUGGUCUGGCCGGGCUCUUCCCUCUGCGGAACCGCAUGCCCUUUACUGGGCGUGUCGGGGAGGCAGGACUUUUACUUUGAAAAAAUUAGAGUGCUCAAGGCAGGCCAAUGCUCGGAUACAUUAGCAUGGAAUAAUAGAAUAGGACGUUGGUUCUAUUUUGUUGGUUUCUAGGACCGCCGUAAUGAUCAAUAGGGACGGUCGGGGGCAUCAGUAUUCAGCCGCGAGAGGUGAAAUUCUUAGACCGGCUGAAGACUAACUACUGCGAAAGCAUUUGCCAAGGACGUUUUCGCUGAUCAGGAACGAAAGUUAGGGGAUCGAAGACGAUCAGAUACCGUCGUAGUCUUAACCAUAAACGGUGCCGACUUGGGAUCGGGCGCUGUUCUCUCUAGACGCGCUCGGCACCAUUCGAGAAAU
rnacentral:rRNA from 1 species